rnacentral:rRNA from 1 species
AUUGAACGCUGGCGGCAGGCCUAACACAUGCAAGUCGAACGAGUGGCGGACGGGUGAGUAAUGUCUGGGCAACUGCCUGCUGGAGGGGGAUAACUACUGGAAACGGUCGCUACUACCGCAUACCAUCUGAUGUGCCCAGAUGGGAUUAGCUAGUGGGUGGGGUAAAGGCUCACCUAGGCGACGAUCCCUAGCUGGUCUGAGAUGAUGACCAGCCACACUGGAACUGAGACACGGGCCAGACUCCUACGGUAGGCAGCAGUGGGGAAGAUUGCACAAGGGGCGCAAUCCUGAUGCAGCCAUGCCGCGUGGAUGAAAAAGGCCUUCGGGUUGUAAAGUACUUUCAGCGGGGAGGCGGUACCCGCAGAAGAAGCACCGGCUAACUCCGUGCCAGCAGCCGCGGUAAUAC